GAUGAACGCUGGCGGCGUGCCUAAUACAUGCAAGUCGAGCGAACAGACGAGGAGCUUGCUCCUCUGACGUUAGCGGCGGACGGGUGAGUAACACGUGGAUAACCUACCUAUAAGACUGGGAUAACUUCGGGAAACCGGAGCUAAUACCGGAUAACAUGUUGAACCGCAUGGUUCAACAGUGAAAGACGGUUUUGCUGUCACUUAUAGAUGGAUCCGCGUCGCAUUAGCUAGUUGGUAAGGUAACGGCUUACCAAGGCAACGAUGCGUAGCCGACCUGAGAGGGUGAUCGGCCACACUGGAACUGAGACACGGUCCAGACUCCGACGGGAGGCAGCAGUAGGGAAUCUUCCGCAAUGGGCGAAAGCCGGACGGAGCAACGCCGCGUGAGUGAAGAAGGUCUUCGGAUCGUAAAACUCUGUUAUUAGGGAAGAACAAAUGUGUAAGUAACUAUGCACGUCUUGACGGUACCUAAUCAGAAAGCCACGGCUAACUACGUG
rnacentral:rRNA from 1 species